rnacentral:tRNA from 1 species
CGUGAAAUAGCUUAACUAAAAGCAAUAAAUUUUUAAUUUAUAGAUAAGAAAUUCUUCUUCAUGG